ensembl:snRNA U6 U6 spliceosomal RNA
GUGCUUGCUUCGGCAGCACAUAUACUAAAAUUGGAACGAUACAGAGAAGAUUAGCAUGGCCCCUGCGCAAGAAUGAUACUUAGGCCCCUUUUCUUU